rnacentral:rRNA from 1 species
GACGAACGCUGGCGGCGUGCCUAAUACAUGCAAGUUGAGCGCUGAAGGUUGGUCCUUGUACCAACUGGAUGAGCAGCGCACGGGUGAGUAACGCGUGGGGAAUCUGCCUUUGAGCGGGGGACAACAUUUGGAAACGAAUGCUAAUACCGCAUAAAAACUUUAAACACAAGUUUUAAGUUUGAAAGAUGCAAUUGCAUCACUCAAAGAUGAUCCCGCGUUGUAUUAGCUAGUUGGUGAGGUAAAGGCUCACCAAGGCGAUGAUACAUAGCCGACCUGAGAGGGUGAUCGGCCACAUUGGGACGGAGACACGGCCCAAACUCCUACGGGAGGCAGCAGUAGGGAAUCUUCGGCAAUGGACGAAAGUCUGACCGAGCAACGCCGCGGGAGUGAAGAAGGUUUUCGGAUCGUAAAACUCUGUUGGUAGAGAAGAACGUUGGUGAGAGUGGAAAGCUCAUCAAGUGACGGUAACUACCCAGAAAGGGACGGCUAACUACGUG